GCAUUCUAGCAACAAUUAUUUGAAAAUAAAACUACAGAGGAGAAGCCUAAAAGCAACAGAAUAUAAAUUGUGAUGAUACUUAACUGUUAAGUUGUCCCUCAAGUGUUUCAGUGAUUCAACCAUCCAGGAAACAGUGUAUGGGAAAGCUCUUUUGUAAGAAAUGGAUCAGGAGAUGUCAUCUUGGUACUGAUCCAGUAUCACAGCAAUUCCGAAUUAAUCAACGGAACACCCAGCUGUUAGGAGAGAUGCUCUGCUGCAGUGAACACACUCCAAGCCUGCCCCUCCAAGCGAUGCUUUCUCUGGGGAUGAUCUUAAGUCUUCUGCAAGGAUCAGGGUGGGGCUACGAGAUGGCAGAGACAAAAGUGGAG